rnacentral:tRNA from 1 species
ACGCCUGUAGCUCAGUGGAUUAGAGCGUCGGCCUCCGGAGCCGUGUGCGCAGGUUCGAUUCCUGUCAGGCGUACCA